UGCUUGCUAAGGAUGAUAGAAGCUCACCCCUCUCUUCCCUCCCAUGCCCCAAUAGGUCUUGGUCCAGCUGAACAAAUCAAGCUCCUACUUGGCAUUUUUCUUACAACUCCAACCUCCAGAUGGCCUUGCCUUCCUGCCCGGCUUACAGGUGCUGGCUUCCGCAGGACAUCACAAGGAAUGCAGAGUGGACGCGUCCCUGUCUGUGCGUGUGUCUGGCCACCAGCUGCUUCUGCUAGAGGUGGACACUAGCAAGCAAAAUAGGAGGAGCCGCUGGGGCUGGGACAUGAGGGUCUCGCUCCGCCAGGCUGUCUUCAACACCCCUAGAGCCCUUCAGCUACAGCUGUCCUCCAAGGUCACCCCAGCAAGGUAACUGCCGCUGUGUGCCCUGAAAAGGCCUUCAAAAGGACGUCCAGAGACCAAGGCUAGUGUCUUGCUUGGAGAAGCCAUCCCUGCAGGCCCCUGCCUCCCGAGACCACCUGGGUCAGCUCUGGUGUGACCGUCUUGAUGCAAAGGCUGGGAGGAGGGUGGCAUUAGUCCACUUACUCGCUCAUGUGCUCAGGAAACUGCAGCAGGAGGAUGGUGAGUUUGACUCCAGGCAGGGCUAGAGAGACCCUAUGUCAAAUGAUCUCUUUCCCCUAAGAAUGAAACAAGUCACCAGACACUCACGGGGGCUGCCCAGGUCCUGCCACUCUCCUCCUGACCAUUCCCUGAAGCACCCAGGAUGCCAUGUUGUUGAGGACCUGGGUCUGGGUCUGGGUCAGGCCAGGACUCCCGUACAGCCGCUCAGCCACCUGAGUAUACAUCCUUAUGGCCAUCUAUAAAGACAUUAGGCAAGUUGCUAUUGUUAUUGUUGUUGUUACUAUUAUUAAUUUGAAACAAGGUCUCAUUGUGUAGCCAUGGCUGUCCUGGAACUCACUCUAUAGACCAGGCUGGCCUUGAACUCACAUACAUUCGCCUGCUCACAUAGAUCCUGAGUGCUGGGAUUGCACGUGUAGUCACCAUGCUGACUUGAAGCAAAUUGUUGAGGAUGAGUGCCCCUCUGUCAUCUGUCACUGUGACAGAACCUGUUCUAGGUUAGGAGCUGGUGGGUCUCAGCAGAGGGCUGGAUGAUGAGUUCUCAAGCUUCCUGUGGUGACAGCCCAUGCUGAGACUGGGCAGUGUCGGCUCCUGGGAAAUGAAGGGCAGGGUCAUGCACCAGUAAGACCUGAUUGUGAAAGCAGUGGCAGGGAGACUGUAGUUCAUCCCAGUC
rnacentral:lncRNA from 1 species